GGUUAUACUCGAACCUGUGACUGCAUCAUGGCCGCAGACUGGGACCUUUACGUUGAAUUCAACCCCUGAUUGUAUCAAUCAUUAUUACCCCGAAACUGAAUUUCCCCAUGAUGGGUUUCUAAGGUCAUGGUCCUAUCCUUCCAUGACAUAUGAAAUUAUGUGUGUUGAGGCAUGUUAUCACAUCCCCAACCCUUUAAAACUACCUAAUAACUUUCGUUGUUUUAGUCAAAAACCCUGAAUACUUUCAAAAUACCCG
rnacentral:lncRNA from 1 species